rnacentral:rRNA from 1 species
CCUACGGGAGGCAGCAGUGGGGAAUCUUGCGCAAUGCACGAAAGUGUGACGCAGCAACGCCGCGUGCGGGAAGACGGCCUUCGGGUUGUAAACCGCUUUCAGUUGGGACGAAGGUUCUGCGGUUAAUACCCGUAUGGACUGACUGUACCUUCAGAAGAAGCCCCGGCUAACUACGUGCCAGCAGCCGCGGUGAUACGUAGGGGGCAAGCGUUGUCCGGAAUCAUUGGGCGUAAAGCGCGUGUAGGCGGCUGAGCAAGUCCGCUCUGAAAGCCCGAGGCUCAACCUCGGGAGGCGAGUGGAUACUGCUCAGCUCGAGUCCGGAAGAGGAGUGUGGAAUUCCUGGUGUAGCGGUGAAAUGCGCAGAUAUCAGGAGGAACACCAAUUGCGAAGGCAGCACUCUGGGACGUGACUGACGCUGAGACGCGAAAGCGUGGGGAGCAAACAGGAUUAGAUACCCUGGUAGUCCACGCCGUAAACGAUGGGCACUAGGUGUGGGAGGUGUCGACUCCUCCCGUGCCGGAGCUAACGCAUUAAGUGCCCCGCCUGGGGAGUACGGCCCGCAAGGCUAAAACUCAAAUGAAUUGACGGGCNGAGAGNGCGACGGACGACGACGAGGGAGGAGG